rnacentral:lncRNA from 1 species
UUUAGCAUAUUAUCACACUACCUAAAAAAAAGUUAAUUUUAUACAGUUUUCUAUAAACAUAUCGAAUAAUAAAUAUAUUUAUAUAAAUUUCAAUAUUUUAUAUUUAUUUUUGUAGAAGUCCAGUGAUACUUAUAUUUGCUCUUUUAUUAUCAUUAGAGCACUAUUUAUUUUUUAACAGAAGAUAAGUAAAAUAAUAUUUUGAACAUUACAAAUAUGUUAAUUCAAAAUUUUCAACUGUUAGAACUAUACAGAAAUGUUCCUCCAAAAAUUUUCAAUAGCCAUCUUCUUCCAUUCUACCAUCACAAAUAAUAGAAGGGUAGAAUUAAGGCUUCGUUUGAAAUUGCGGGAAGAUUGCGUAACAUGCGAUGAGAAUGUAUGAUGGAAAAACACCAUGUUUGUUUCUCUACGUAAAUUGUGUUCUGCAUAUCACAAUGAGUCGGUUACGAUAUAUAUUUUCUAUGGUCCUACCGGAGAACAUAGAAGUAUAUCCCUAUAUACUUUUAUUCCAACUCUAUUUUAUCUAAUAGCGUCAGAUAGGCCUCAAUACCAAACAAAACCUAAGUAUUUUACUUAUGAUUUUAACUACAUUUUUCUUAUGAAUCCUAGCAAGGGGGGCUGAUAAAUAUGAAAAGUUGAACUUUGAAGGAAUAUAUUUGCUAUUCGAUAAGUUUACAGGAAACUGUACGCAAUUAAUUCUAAAAUUUAAUAAUAGUAUUUGGAGUUUAGUAAUUAGUAUAAAAAAUAUACUAAUAAUAUUGUCAUGUCAUCAAUAUUUUAACUUUUUAAGAUAUCUUUCUAGGGUAUAUGUAGCAGCAGUUUUUAGUUAUUUCGGAAUAGUUUGAGAUAAGCUAUCCGCCUUGAUGGAAUUAUGCUAUCAUAAGGUAUAGUUCUAAAAAUUAUUAAGAUUAUAAAUUAAAUUAAAAUAGAUUAUAAAAACAUAAUAUAUUAUAUAUUAUAUAGUAAAUUAUUUUAUUAUAAAAAUUAUUAAUUGUACUAUAUUAUCACAUAUUAUUAUAAAAUAUUAUAAAUAUUACAAUAAAUUAUAUAAAUUUAAAGUUUAAGAAAUUUUUUUAAAAAAAUAGUAUUAUAUUUUAAACAUUCUUUUAUCUAAUAUAUCUAAUGUCUAAUUUAUAAUUAAAUAUUAAUCAUAUUUUAUACCAAAUUCAACUGUUAUUUUUUAUUAUCAUAUACGAUUCUAUAAAAUUAACCAAUCGUGGUUAUUCCUGAAAAUAACAACAUUACAAAUCAAACACAAUUUUACUUUUAUUUCUCGCUAUUUUGGAAUAGUAAACUAUUUCAGAAAUAAAAAGAAUUAUCUCAUACCCUAUUUGAAUAUUGCAAUAAGAUAUCUAAUAAAGAGUUUGAUUAUUUUACUUAAAAAAUUUUGGUUCUCAAACUAUAAGGCGGAUGAUAUUUUAGUUUCCGAAUUUUAAUUUAUUAUAAUUAUUUACUUAAAUUUUUAGAAUUAUUGUUAUUAAAUUCUAAAUAAUCUAGUUUAUUUGGCUAAAUAUUAAUAUAUCUUUAAUAUAAAAAAAUUGUAAUGAUAUUGUGAUUGACAAUACGUCUACAGCUAAGAUGUCACACCACUUUUAUAUCAAUAAAGUUGAGCUGGAAUGCUAUCGGUAGCAAACGGGCUCCAUUGCCACCCAUUUGUUUUCGAUGUUGGAGCCUUCAAAUCGAUGAUUGGCGCCGUUGAAUAUGAUUUAUACCACUUGAAGCAUUUAGAAACCAAAUUUCAAAUCUUUUCAACAUCAUUGACCGAAUGAUCAAAGGGUUUCAAAAUUUGCAAUUUUAAUGGUAGAUAUGAAGUGUUUUCUCGUUUAUGGGUGUAAAGCUAUCAAAGUCAAUUGAAUUUUGGUUAGAAAAUUCUUUAAACUAUUUAGAACAAGAUUUAUACUCUCGAUCUUGAUUACAAAAUUUCUAUCAUCACUUUUUAGAGAAUAUUCAUUUUCAGCCGUUUAUUUUUACGCCCACUUGAUGGACAAAAAAAUAAUAUUGAAAAAGCAUAAAAUUUAAUUUCUAAAUACUUCAAAUGGUAUAGUUCAUUUUCAAUAGUGUCGAUCGUCGAUUUGAAAGCUUUAUUACCGAAAACAAAUGGCUAGCAACGGAGCCCGUUUGCUACCGAUAGCAUUCCAGCUCAACUCUAUAUCAAUGAUACUUUAAUAUUUAGUUUACUAAAUUAGAUCGUUUGUUUUGAUUGUAAUAAUUCAGAAGUUUGAGGAAUUUAUAAAUAAACUAAAGUUUGAGCACCAAAAUAUUACACAGCUUGUAAUUUUAGGACUACACACUCAAUUUUAAUGUGUAUGAUACACACAUGCCCAUCUAAUGGAUGGAUUUAUUUUACUAGUCACAUCAUGUGAUAAGUGAAGAUACUCCACCUAUUGGAUAGAAUAUAAUAAUUUCUAAAAUCUAUUCCUAUUUAUUAUUUCUCAAAAAUCUUGCCACAUGGCACAUUCUCUUUGAGAAAUUUGUUGGACCCUCCAA